UACGUCGGGUGCGAGCGUUAAUCGGAAUUACUGGGCGUAAAGCGUGCGCAGGCGGUUCGUUAAGUCAGCUGUGAAAGCCCCGGGCUCAACCUGGGAACUGCGGUUGAAACUGGCGAACUAGAAUCUGGCAGAGGGGGGUGGAAUUCCACGUGUAGCAGUGAAAUGCGUAGAGAUGUGGAGGAACACCGAUGGCGAAGGCAGCCCCCUGGGCUGAGAUUGACGCUCAGGCACGAAAGCGUGGGGAGCAAACAGG
rnacentral:rRNA from 1 species